rnacentral:tRNA from 5 species
GGGCCAUUAGCUUAUCUGGCAGAGCAUAGCAUUCGCAUUGCUAAGAGGGCGGUUCGACUCCGCCAUGGUCCACCA